UACGGAGGGAGCUAGCGUUGCUCGGAAUUACUGGGCGUAAAGAGUACGUAGGCGGUGAUUCAAGUCAGAGGUGAAAGCCUGGAGCUCAACUCCAGAACUGCCUUUGAAACUAGAUCGCUAGAAUUAUGGAGAGGUUAGUGGAAUUCCGAGUGUAGAGGUGAAAUUCGUAGAUAUUCGGAAGAACACCAGUGACGAAGGCGACUAACUGGACAUAUAUUGACGCUGAGGUACGAAAGCGUGGGGAGCAAACAGGAUUAGAUACCCCAGUAGUCC
rnacentral:rRNA from 1 species